CAUGGCAACAGCAAUGGCACCAGUAAAGUUAUCCUCAGAGAGGUUCAUAAGUCCUAGGAUACCAAUAAUGAGCUAAGAAUGAAAAGUAUAAAAUGGUGGUGUAUAAAAACACACCAACUGGUGGACUGCUUCAAGACAAAUAUAAGAUUCCAGAAUGCUUUGGAAUGCUUCCAGAAAAAUUUCAAGACCCUGGUGUUUUACCUGAAUAGGUAGGCUUAAUGACCAAGAAAAAAUGGUAUUAUUAAUUUUAUUAUAUGUUGGGAUCUUAUUUGUAUCCCUAUACUAGCAUAGGUAUUUGCAAAUUGUAGAUGCAUGGACACACAGACUUAAAUCCUAAUAAACUCAAACAUUCCAACAAAUGUAUAUCAUAUAUAAAAAAGUAUUUUGAUAAACCAUAAAUUCUUCUAAUCUUCCUCCUUUUUUAUCAUAUCUUUAUCAGCCAUAUAUUUGUUAAACAAAUAUUUAUUGAGUAUUUAUUGCACUAGGAAUAAAAUGAUGAAAAAUACUCAAAAUUCUGCUAAUAUGGAGCUAAAAUUCUCAUGGAAGAGAUGAGAUAAUGAACAAAUAAAAAAUGAUAUAAUUUCCAACAGUGAUAAAAUUAUGAGGUGGGUGUUUCUUUACAUGGACAGAAGACAGAUCUCUAUGGGAAGCUAUCUGACUAGGGACCUGGAACCCUCAUUUGAAGAUCUAGUGCAGCAAUUCUCAAUUUGUCUCUAGAUGAGCAUUACCUGUGAGACUUUUUUUAAAAAACGAUGCAUUGUUCCCAUUCCAAAUAAUUUAUCAGAAUAGCUGAUAAUAGGACUCAGGUAUUUGUAUUUUGAAUAGUUCUCAAGGUGAUUCUAAUGUGCAUUUAUAGUAGAUCUUCUUACCUAGGGAAAGUGUGGAAAAAGCAAAGGGAAUAGUAAGUCCACACAUGUAUGUCCAUGUCCACAUGUUUGGCUUAUUCAAGGAAUAUCAGGGAGGAAAAGCAAAAAAGGAGAUGAGGUCAGAAAGAUACGUAGCACCAGAUCAUUUAGGGCUUUUAGAUCAUGCUAGUAGGUUUAAAUUUUAAGUGUAAUAUGAAACCAUUAUAUUAAUUCAGUUAUGUGAUAAAAUGAGGAAAAAGGACAGAAACAAAAAAUAUUCUUCCUUCUCCAAUUUUCUCAAUGUAAAAAACAAAUAUACAUUCUCUGUGUUUUAAUCACAGAGUCAUGUUAAUUAUCCAACCUCUGGCAAUGGACUGAGGUGUUCCCAUCAAUGGAAUCUGGGAGAAAAGGAAUAUUAAUCUAUUGAAGAUGAGUCAACAUUACCCUGGAAAGAAAAGAGAAGUAGAAUAACACUGUAUCACUAAAUGCCGUCACAUAACACAAACAUACACACACAUUCACGCCAUUAUUCACACAUACAUAUCUUUAUCACAAGCAUGUGUUACAUAUCUAAGAACUGGUUUUGAAAUUUAUCAUUGUUAAAAUAUGAAAAAAAUGACAUUAGCCAAUAACUACUAACAACUGUUAACUUGAUAUAUAUAUAUAUAUUUUUACUUCCUAACUUUUCCAGAUCAAUGUAUAUUCUUUCCCUGCUGUGGUAGGUAUUCUAAUUAAUCCUGUCUAUUGGAAAGAGGAAAAUAAAUAUCUAUCCCCAAAAUGAAAUAUUUAGACAACACCACAACUUUUGAAAAUAUGUAAAUUGAAAUUCAGGCCUUCUUAAAACAAUUAAGAAAUAGUUUUCACGAUUAACCUAUAUAUAUAUGUGUUUUAUAUAUAUAGACACACACAUAUACACAUAUGUAUUCAUAUAUAUGUGUGUGUGUAUCUAUAUAAUGAAGAUAUCCUGUCUGCUGUUUUCUGUUUUCUUUCUUUCUUUUUUUUUUGAAGGAAAAAACCCUUUAUCUCUUUGCCAAGCAAAGGGGGCCACAGCAGGCUAAUGCCAUAAAGACCAUGCUGCCUUUGGAAGGGAUUAUGAAGUGGUUUUUUAGUUUGAGUAGUGGAAUAAGGAUCAGGGCCAUAGAUAAGGAUCAGGGUAGAGGCCAGUUUGCAUUAUUUCUCAAAACUGAUGUUUAGUGGCCCCAGGACUGGUUCUGGUGGUCCUCCUUCUUCCCAGAAUGAAGAAUGUUUCAUCAAGUACUUCUUCCAUUUGUUGGGGUUUCAGUUCUGCAGAAAGGCUCAAAGACAUUGUUAUGUAUAUUUCUUGAGGACGAACCUGCUGUGUUUUCUUAUUUUAUUUUAUUGCAGUGAUUGCAGAGUGUUUUGAAGCAAGAAGGAUUUUGUUUCCCUUGGAAUAAAAUGGAACACUGAUAAAUCCAAUCACUCCAGUGAUCUUCAUGCAGCAUAUUGGAAGAUCUGUUAGAAUUCCCACUAUCACUUGAGUACAUAAUUGUGUUUUCUUGUAGAAAGAAGAGAAAUAGUUUACUGCUUCCCAUAAGCACAUAAUCUUGAACUUUCCAUGCUGUGUGAAGCUGCCCAAGUGAGAGGCUAUUCUAUUGGUUAUAGUCUGUGAUUUACUAGGGAUGAUGUUCAGGUGCCACCAACCAGGGCCUUGAAAUCUUGCCUCCCGAAUGAUGCUCAGGGCAUCAUUGUUAUGCUUUUGCUCAACCUCUGCAGAGGCAAACCUGCUCCAAGAUGUAGAGUAUGGUUUUUGAGCAAGAUAGAAUCUGAGUUUGAGUCUUGGCUCUGCUACUUGCCAGCUAACUGAUUUCUCUGACCAUCUGGGUCCCCUCCACUGCUCAGUGUAAUUAACGGUACUUGCCCUAGUGGGGUUUUGUGGUGAUUAGAAAUAAGUACUUUGCUGCAAGCUUCACACUGAGUAUAUAGCUACUUUUUCCUUUUAAAUUUAGCACAAUGUACUCAGUCACUGGACAUAUAUAUUUGAUACAAAUCACAGAAACUAUAAGUGUUCAUGAACUCUGAAUGCUGCAAUGUCUUCCUAUUUCAAAACUAUGCUAAUCAGUUUAUUUUCUCUAGACAAACUCAUUAACAUAGAAUUGAAAGCUAUCUACCAUCAGGCCUUAACCUAUUUCAAUAUAACAUCAUUUCUUACUAUACAAUCCACCUUCUAUUCUGAUUCUUCUACAUAAUACCUCUUAAUAAUUUAUGGUUUUUGAUCAAACAUGCCAAUAUUUUUUAAUCUCUGUCUUUGAUCAUAUUGUUUUUCCUUCCCUAGAUUUCUUCCACAUAACUCUCAAAUCUAUGAAAAUUCUCUCCAUCUUACAAAAUCCAAAGCAAAAAACUACUAGAUGAAGUUAUCUUUGAUUCCUAUAGUGUAAUCAAGGAUACAAUUUGUAUUGUCUAUUUUCUCUAGAAUAGAACCACCUCAUUACAUUAUAGGUAUUUGUAUAAUUUUUUCUUGCACAUCAUAUUGUAAAUUUCUUGAGGAAAAAAGUUCGCAUUGGUCAUCUUUGCCUCAAUACUUUUUGCUGGAUUGAAGUCUUAAGGUAUUAAUGUUGUCAAAGAUUUACAUAUUCAUAAGGUUUUACACUCAUGCUAGUGCUCUGUUAAUUAUUUUCUUUCAUUAGUGUGAUGAUAAUAAUAUUCUAUUCAACUUUUAGCAAAGUUCUUCAUAUUUGCAUAUCCAGAACAAACUUCAGGUCUGAAAACCAACUGUUUGCAAUUUAACUACAUGUACUCCAACUUAGGGUCUCACUGAAACUCUUCCAAUAGAGCCCCUGUUCAAAUCUUGAGUGUUAGUGGCUCUAAAACAUCCAUCUUAAAAGUUUCAAACCUGGUUUCUCUAGUUCUGUAUUUCUCUUAUGUCUCUAUUUACUCCCAUCCUGUGGGAAAAGCUGAGGGUGUAAUCUUCAGGCCUAGAUUUUUCUCCAAGAAGCAUUAACCUAUCUUCAGAUAAACAGUGUUCAAAUUAUUAAAGUCCUGUUAAGCAAAAGUUUACUUUGGAUCUACAUAUUUUUUAGGAAGGGCAAAUUUUAUACUAAUAUCAUCCCCUUCAUAAAUGGUUCGUCCUAGCUAAGAAGCCCACUGUUAGGAAAAGGAAGAGGACUUUUUUUCUGGGCCCAGAAACAUCAAUAGACAACAUUUUGAGAGUGUGACAUGAGGAAUAUUACCAUAAAUUUUAAAGAAUUAUGCCUGUCAAUGGAGCUCAGUAGUAUGCUCCCUCGAAUCAGCCUCCCCAACUGACAAUUUCUUUUGUGUCCUUUCCAGGAGUGCCUAUUCAAGAUAUUUACAACUCAGAUAUGCAGGCUGGUUCUGGUAUUAUAUGUUCUAUAUAUUCUCUUUAAUCUUUUCUCUCCCAUGUAAUUUUUUUAUUGAGGUUUCAGGGCAUCUUUGGUACCACAGUAGCUCAAGAAGAGCUUUUUACUUUUUUUAAAUAAAACUGUAAAUGUUUCAGACCAUCAUGUACAGGAGACUAAGCUCUUACACUAUUUAAAAAUUUUAUGUGAUCAUAAAUCUGUUCCAUAGUCAAGUUACUGUUUUACAAUACAUUGUAACCUUUUUCUUUCUCACUCCCUUCAUUUUUACAAGGAAGAUAUGUGAAUUUUAUUUUUUUAGAAAAAUCAUAGUAUUUUUAAUUUGCAAAAUGUCUUUUCAUUUGUUUCAUUCAUAAAUGACAUUUGUAUGAAUUAAGAGAACAGUAUAUUUGUGAACUGGUCAGUCAUCAAUAGUUGAACUGGAAUUUAAGAACACAAAUAACAGCUUGGAUAGAGCAGAGCUAUAAAGCAGUCCUGAGGUGCCCCCACCCACAGGUUAUCUUACCAUGUAUACACUAGCCCAGCAACACUUCAGUACUGAUUCUCCAAGGUUUAUAUCUUUACUUUAGAACAAAGUGUUUCAUGUGGUUCCACACAUCUGGACUUCAUAGCACCCUCUUUUGCUACAGCAAGCAAGUUUAAUCUUGAUGGAAAAUAUUUUUAAGUGGGGAACUCUGAAAAUUUUAUAGGAUAGCAUCUGUGCUUUAAAACUAGAAAAUUAGAAAUACUUUUCAUCCACCUUGGAGCUUUUUUUUUUUUAAUUUUUAGGGGCUUAAUGUCAUUGUUGCCAUAAAUCCGUUUAUCCUCCCUGUUAAGAGAGUGACCAGCAGUAAAGUGCCUAUCUUUGAGGAUGCACACAAGCUGGAGUGAGGUCAUCUGCUCAAAGUCACACAAUACAUUUAAGGAUAUGUAUAUGGGUGUACUUUGGAAUAUGGGAUAGAUUGUUUCUUUAAUCUUAAACUCUAGGUGUUUAAAUCCGCUACAAUGAAAGAUUCUUAUCAGAUGUAUGCAUUUGCUCUUUGUGCAUUCAUGGAAUUUGUCUGUUUUUACUUUGACUUCUGUUUGACUUGAUGGGGCUGCAUUACACUAGAGAAACCAAAGAGGGUAAAUUUCCAACUCUGCCAUCUUAGAAGCUAGAAAAAGAACACAUGAUUUAAGAUCAAAGGGACCUUUCCACACAAGGUUUAGAAACAUGAAGGAGAGUUUCAAGAAUCUAAAGGGACCUAGAUAUUAUUCAUAGUGCUAAUGGUGGAGAACAGAGAACAAUGGUGAAGAUAGUAAACAUCCAUGGCAAUGCUGUUCAUACCAUAGCAUGCCUGAGGCGUGAUUCUGGUUUAGUUUUUGAUUUGGUGGCUUCUGGUGGUUCCAGGCUAUUUCCUGAUUCUAGUUCUUUAUUCUUCUCAAUUGCUUCUAUCCUUCCAAUACAUUCUUCUUUCAUUUAACUUAGAGCUGGUUCAGUCACUAAGAUUACAGGAUCCUGACUGGAACUUUGCACAGAGCAGCUAAACCACAACUAUGACACAGGCUUCUUGUAGAGAACUUUUCAGGGAACAACUAGAAUAGCUUCAAAAUUCCAGAAAUGGAAUGGAUUGGAGUGUUAUUCCUGGUCAACAGCUAGAGGAUUGGGGACAUAAAAAAAUAAAUCUGAAAACAGAUUUAAUUACAAGAAGCUGGGGUGAUAUGGUAUAAAAGCAACCCUGGGCUCAGAGCCAGAGAACCUUCCUCUACCAUGUAGUUAGCCUGAUGACCUUGGGUAAAGUACUUUCUAGCUCUAAACAAUUGUCUCUUUAUCUGUAAAAGAUGGAUAAUACCAGCUGCAUAUCCUAUUUCACAGGGAUAUUAAGAAUAAGAGAAAGUAGAUAUAUAAGGUACUCAAAGGAUACAAUUAAAGUAGCCUUAUUGUUACUUUUACACAUAUGCUUUACCAUAGAUGAGUAUCAGGCACCUGACCGAGUUUCCACUUUAUAAUGACUUUCCAGAAAUAUUCAUAAAAGCCCUAUACCUCUCCAAGAGGUUAUAGUCUUGGCCUGGGUUUGAAUCCUGAUUUUACAGUUCAUGACCUCUGUGAAUGUGGAAAUGAAUCUGACCAGGAUCCAUGAGGAUGCAGGUUUGAUCCCUGGCCUCACUCAGUGGGUUAGGGAUCCAACGUUGCCAUGAGCUGUGGUGUAGGUCGCAGACAUGGCUCAGAUGUGGCAUUAAUGUGGUUGUGGUAUAGGCCAGCGGGUACAGCUCCAAUUCGACCUCUAGUCUAGGAAUCUCCAUAUGCCA
ensembl:lncRNA